ensembl:lncRNA
UCAUCAUCAUCCAGAGAAAAGCAGAGCAACGCUGGCAACGAGACCGAGACCGACAAAUCCUUAGACUUCAGGAGCGACUAUCAAUCGUUCAGAACAGGAAGUCAGACGAGGACCUGCUGGGACUGAGACGCGAGGAAACAUUCAGACAGCUGACCAACACACUGCAGCAGGAAGAUGAGCAGCAGCAGAAGGUGUUGGUCAGAGAGAAACUGCAGCAGCUGUGGAGAGAGCGUUCUUAUAUUCUACAGUCCAGAAGAGAGAGGAAUACGGCUGAAUUUAAGGAACUCCUCACACCUACAACUCAGUGUCCGACGAAUUCAGAAGAUGUGCUCAACACACGUACACACACACACAUCAACACCACACACACACACCUACCUGACAUUCCCUGACAGCGUUGUCCUGUUUGUGUUAAAGGUGCAGUCUGGUUAUUUAAAAGUUCUUCUAAACCUGUAAUAAUCAGCCACUUUUACAGAAACUGGAAUUCACAGCACUGACAUGCGUCGAAACAUCUCACACUUCUGUUCACGUUUUUCUGGUCCUGCAGUAAACUCUACACCUGCGGCCUGAAUAUAACCCGAGAUAAACUAGACAUAAAACUAAAAUCCUGAUCUUCCGUACAGAUGAUCAGGAAGUCAGUGGAUCGUUAAAGUUCCCUUCUAAUUAUUUGUGCUCCACAGAAUUCUCCAGCAACGGUGAAGUCUUCACUACGAACACUAAAGGGUUAACGUUGAUGCGUCAGAUUUAUAUCACUUUGCUCGCAGCUGAUUGGUCCAAUUUGGGUUUGUGAUCUCUUACCCAGAAUAAAAACCCGCUCCGGAGCAGGUUAGCCAUGUAGUGCAAGUUACCACGGUGAUGAAAC